rnacentral:rRNA from 1 species
ACGGGGCGCAGCAGGCGCGAAACCUCCGCAAUGUGAGAAAUCGCGACGGGGGGAUCCCAAGUGCCAUUCUUAACGGGAUGGCUUUUCAUUAGUGUAAAGAGCUUUUGGAAUAAGAGCUGGGCAAGACCGGUGCCAGCAGCCGCGGUAAU